rnacentral:rRNA from 1 species
CUGAUGUUAGCGGCGGACGGGUGAGUAACACGUGGAUAACCUACCUAUAAGACUGGGAUAACUUCGGGAAACCGGAGCUAAUACCGGAUAAUAUUUUGAACCGCAUGGUUCAAAAGUGAAAGACGGUCUUGCUGUCACUUAUAGAUGGAUCCGCGCUGCAUUAGCUAGUUGGUAAGGUAACGGCUUACCAAGGCAACGAUGCAUAGCCGACCUGAGAGGGUGAUCGGCCACACUGGAACUGAGACACGGUCCAGACUCCUACGGGAGGCAGCAGUAGGGAAUCUUCCGCAAUGGGCGAAAGCCUGACGGAGCAACGCCGCGUGAGUGAUGAAGGUCUUCGGAUCGUAAAACUCUGUUAUUAGGGAAGAACAUAUGUGUAAGUAACUGUGCACAUCUUGACGGUACCUAAUCAGAAAGCCACGGCUAACUACGUGCCAGCAGCCGCGGUAAUACGUAGGUGGCAAGCGUUAUCCGGAAUUAUUGGGCGUAAAGCGCGCGUAGG